ACACGUAUGAAAGACAAGCUGAAAGACUUUUCUCAAUGAUGUAAGUGGUGGUGCAUGGUCGUUCUUAGUUCGUGGAUUGAUUUGUCUGGUCUAUUCCGAUAACGAGCGAGACCCCGACGUUCCUAAUAGGGGUGGAAGCCCGGCUCGCCUACUUCGGUGGGCUUGCUAGCAGCCACUUAAGAUGUACUUCUUAGACGGAUCAGAGCCGAUAAGGUUCUUGAAAUGGGUUAAUAACAGGUCAGUCAUGCCCUUAGAUGUUCUGGGCCGCACGCGCGUUACAAUGGCAUGUAUAGAUGGUGCCUUAAAGGGUGUCUCCGGGGCCUAACGGUUUUGGUAAUCCCUAGUCCCUGCCUUGACUGGGACAGACUAUUGUAAUUAUUGGUCUCAAACGAGGAAUUUUUAGUAGUCGCGGGUCAUUAACCCGCGACGA
rnacentral:rRNA from 1 species